UGCAAACGUUGCUCGGAAUUAUUGGGCGUAAAGCGCGCGUAGGCGGCUACUUAAGUCGGAUGUGAAAGCCCUUGGCUCAACUGAGGAAGUGCACCCGAAACUGAGUGGCUAGAGUACGAAAGAGGGUCGCGGAAUUCCCGGUGUAGAGGUGAAAUUCGUAGAUAUCGGGAGGAACACCGGUGGCGAAGGCGGCGACCUGGGUCGAUACUGACGCUGAUGCGCGAAAGCGUGGGGAGCAAACAGG
rnacentral:rRNA from 1 species